rnacentral:rRNA from 1 species
GACGAACGCUGGCGGCGUGCUUAACACAUGCAAGUCGAACGGAAAGGCCCUGCUUUUGUGGGGUGCUCGAGUGGCGAACGGGUGAGUAACACGUGAGUAACCUGCCCUUGACUUUGGGAUAACUUCAGGAAACUGGGGCUAAUACCGGAUAGGAGCUCCUGCUGCAUGGUGGGGGUUGGAAAGUUUCGGCGGUUGGGGAUGGACUCGCGGCUUAUCAGCUUGUUGGUGGGGUAGUGGCUUACCAAGGCUUUGACGGGUAGCCGGCCUGAGAGGGUGACCGGCCACAUUGGGACUGAGAUACGGCCCAGACUACUACGGGAGGCAGCAGGGAGGAAUAUUGCACAAUGGGCGGAAGCCUGAUGCAGCAACGCCGCGUGCGGGAUGACGGCCUUCGGGUUGUAAACCGCUUUCGCCUGUGACGAAGCGUGAGUGACGGUAAUGGGUAAAGAAGCACCGGCUAACUACGUG